rnacentral:lncRNA from 1 species
GGCCUGGGGCACGACUCUGCCGCCAGCCCUUCCUCACAUGUCGGGUCUCCCGGGCUGGGGGGCGGGAGAGGGGGCGCCCGGCGGAUGCAGGAGGUGAGGAACUCGGGUUCGGGGAGAGCGACGGGAGGAGCGAGGAGGAGCAGCGCCGCUGCACAGCCGCGGAGGGAGGCCGGUCCCCUCAACAAUCGCUAAGAAUCCUCCGGCCUAGUGAAGAAUGUCCUGCCAAAGAGUCACCCAGUUUCUACCAAGUGUCUCAUGUUCUCUCAGAAUGGCAUUAGAGGGAACAGAAGUGCAUCUUGACCCGUGUCUGUAUUCUGUGGAAAAUGAGAAGUCAGAGCACCAGGACCGUACGGGAGCUAGGGAGAAGGCCAAUGAAUCCACGCCCGGCUGAGUCCUUCAUGUUCACGCCUUAUUCAAACUCUACAGUUUAGUUUGGUCUGGAUUGGGUAAACAUCAUUUGAAGUCAUUUGCUCUGCAGAAGUUUGAGAAAUGUGACAACUGAGUUGUGUGGUUCAUCCUUUCACAGAAGCCACAGAUGCUGUUUUUCAAAAUAAAAAUGAAAUGGAAGAU